rnacentral:lncRNA from 1 species
CUCCUAUUGAUUAACUCGCUCGCAUUGCUUUAUAGAAAAUAACAUUUUAAAAUAUUCGUAUUAAAUUAAUUUAAAAACUUAAGUAAAUGACGGAAAUUUAUAAAUAAAUUUUAUUAAAUUCGUGUAAUUUUAAUACGAUGCGUCUCAUUGUUUUGCUUACUUUAUACAAAUAAACUAUUCCAGACAAGUUAAGCUAGACAUACCCUGCAGGGAAUCCCUUCCUUUUAUCUCCUUUCCCACCCGAAUUACGCUUUGAGUGAAGGGAAAACUAAAUGACGUCAUCAGGAAAGUCACAGCCGAAGAUAUUUCAAGAAGAAGGCCGGCCAGACAGAGGCCUUCUAUGAGAAAUAACCCAGCAACAGGACUGACUACAGGAAGUGUUUGGGUACAUUCGUCCAAGGUCACCACCUGGACGCAUGCCCUUCUCUUCGUUGUGGAUGCGGGACCACGUACUACACACUUUAAGGGGGACCACUGGAUCUACCGGUUCUGAUUUCUUUAGUACGUUUAAAGAAGUUCCUCUUGUCAUCUUUCUAUUGGAGAUGACAGGAGGAACCUCCGAAAGUUACUCUUUAUCAACUUCCUCUGCGAUUGGUAAAGGGCUGCACCCUGGGCUCAAUAUUAUCAUCAGGUAACAUUGUGACUUUAUAACCAAGCUGGCAUGUGCUCCUUUUCUUUAAAUGAUUCAUUGUGGAUCAAAGUUUGCUGUAUUUAUUUAUUCUUUGCCCAUCCUGUACUAAAACUUUUUCCAUAUGAGCUAAAGACACAUCGCAGUAAAUAACCGCAUAAUUGUUCUGCGAAUUUUUCAUAAAUUGAGUAUGCUUUAUUGGUU